rnacentral:rRNA from 1 species
UGGCGGCAUGGAUUAGGCAUGCAAGUCGAACGGUGCAUCAAUGCAUAGUGGCGCAAGGGUGAGGAACACGAUGAGUAAUCUACCCUCAAGUUUGGAAUAGCUCCUGGAAACGGGAAUUAAUACCGGAUGAGAUCAUGAGAACGCAUGUUUUUAUGAUGAAAGCUUUAUGCGCUUGAGGAUGAGCUCGCGUCCCAUUAGCUAGUUGGUGAGGUAACGGCCCACCAAGGCAAUGAUGGGUAGCUGGUCUGAGAGGACGAUCAGCCACACUGGGACUGAGAACUGCCCAGACUCCUACGGGAGGCUGCAGUCGAGAAUUUUGGGCAAUGGGCGAAAGCCUGACCCAGCAAUGCCGCGUGCGGGAUGACGGUCUUCGGAUUGUAAACCGCUGUCAAGAGGGACGAAAUUUGACGGUACCUCUGAAGGAAGUCACGGCUAACUACGUGCCAGCAGCCGCGGUAAUACGUAGGUGACAAGCGUUGUUCGGAUUCAUUGGGCGUAAAGGGUCCGCGGGUGGUUUGGUAAGUUUGAUGUGAAAUCCCCGAGCUCAACUCGGGAACUGCAUCGGAUACUGUUAAACUAGAGUUUCGGAGAGGAGAUUGGAAUUCCAGGUGAAGCGGUGGAAUGCGUAGAUAUCUGGAAGAACACCGAAAGCGUAGGCAGAUCUCUGGACGAAUACUGACACUCAGGGACGAAAGCAUGGGUAGCAAACAGGAUUAGAUACCCUGGUAGUCCAUGCCCUAAACGUUGUAAACUUGAUAUGGGGAGAUUUAUUCCUCUCCGUGUCGUAGCUAACGCGAUAAGUUUACCGCCUGGGAACUACGGUCGCAAGACUAAAACUCAAAGGAAUUGACGGGGGCCCGCACAAGCGGUGGAGCAUGUGGCUUAAUUCGAGGCAACGCGAAGAACCUUACCUGGAUUUGACAUAUACAGGAAUCAUUUAGAAAUAUUUGAGCCCGCAAGGGUCUGUAUACAGGUGCUGCAUGGCUGUCGUCAGCUCGUGUCGUGAGAUGUUCGGUUUAGUCCGGCAACGAGCGCAACCCAUGUCAUCAGUUGCUAACAGGUGAUGCUGAGCACUCUGAUGAGACUGCCUGUGUUAAGCAGGUGGAAGGCGUGGAUGACGUCAAGUCCGUAUGGCCUUUAUAUCCAGGGCUACACACGUAAUACAAUGGCCAUCAACAAAGGGAAGCAAUACCGCGAGGUGGAGCAAAUCCCCAAAAAUGGUCUCAGUUCGGAUUGCAGGCUGCAACUCGCCUGCAUGAAGCUGGAAUUGCUAGUAAUCGUGGAUCAGCAAGCCACGGUGAAUACGUUCCCGGGCC